GAGACACCCUUAUGGAGCAGGACUUGCUUCAGUGGGACUUUGGUGCACACUGAGUCUUCCUCUUGAGUGUGUCAUU
rnacentral:pre_miRNA from 1 species